AUUGAACGCUGGCGGCAGGCCUAACACAUGCAAGUCGAGCGGAUGAAGGGUGCUUGCUCCUGGAUUCAGCGGCGGACGGGUGAGUAAUGCCUAGGAAUCUGGCUGGUAGUGGGGGAUAACGUGCGGAAACGGGCGCUAAUACCGCAUACGUCCUGAGGGAGAAAGGGUGGGAUCUUGGGACCUCAGGAUAUCAGAUGAGCCGAGGUCGGAUUAGCUAGUUGGUGGGGUAAAGGCCUACCAAGGCGACGAUCCGUAACUGGUCUGAGAGGAUGAUCAGUCACACUGGAACUGAGACACGGUCCAGACUCCUACGGGAGGCAGCAGUGGGGAAUAUUGGACAAUGGGCGAAAGCCUGAUCCAGCCAUGCCGCGUGUGUGAAGAAGGUCUUCGGAUUGUAAAGCCCUUUAAGUUGGGAGGAAGGGCAGUAAGUUAAUACCUUGCUGUUUUGACGGUACCAAAAGAAUAAGCACCGGCUAACUUCGUG
rnacentral:rRNA from 1 species